rnacentral:rRNA from 1 species
AGUGAACGCUGGCGGUAGGCCUAACACAUGCAAGUCGAACGGCAGCACAGUAAGAGCUUGCUCUUACGGGUGGCGAGUGGCGGACGGGUGAGGAAUACAUCGGAAUCUACUUUUUCGUGGGGGAUAACGUAGGGAAACUUACGCUAAUACCGCAUACGACCUACGGGUGAAAGCAGGGGAUCUUCGGACCUUGCGCGAUUGAAUGAGCCGAUGUCGGAUUAGCUAGUUGGGGGGGUAAAGGCCCACCAAGGCGACGAUCGGUAGCUGGUCUGAGAGGAUGAUCGGCCACACUGGAACUGGGACACGGUCCAGAGUCCUACGGGAGGCAGCAGUGGGGAAUAUUGGACAGAGGGCGCAAGCCUGAUCCAGCCAUACCGCGUGGGUGAAGAAGGCCUUCGGGUUGUAAAGCCCUUUUGUUGGGAAAGAAAAGCAGCAGGUUAAUACCCCGCUGUUCUGACGGUACCCAAAGAAUAAGCACCGGCUAACUUCGUG